GAACCCCGACGGGAGUCGAACCCAUACCUUCGACGCGGUGGCCGACGUGCUACGCACUACACUACGAGGUU